GACGAACGCUGGCGGCGUGCUUAACACAUGCCAGUCGAACGGAAAGACCCUGCUUUUGUGGGGUGCUCGAGUGGCGAACGGGUGAGUAACACGUGAGUAACCUGCCCUUGACUUUGGGAUAACUUCAGGAAACUGGGGCUAAUACCGGAUAGGAGCUCCUGCUGCAUGGUGGGGGUUGGAAAGUUUCGGCGGUUGGGGAUGGACUCGCGGCUUAUCAGCUUGUUGGUGGGGUAGUGGCUUACCAAGGCUUUGACGGGUAGCCGGCCUGAGAGGGUGACCGGCCACAUUGGGACUGAGAUACGGCCCAGACUCCUACGGGAGGCAGCAGUGGGGAAUAUUGCACAAUGGGCGGAAGCCUGAUGCAGCAACGCCGCGUGCGGGAUGACGGCCUUCGGGUUGUAAACCGCUUUCGCCUGUGACGAAGCGUGAGUGACGGUAAUGGGUAAAGAAGCACCGGCUAACUACGU
rnacentral:rRNA from 1 species